GGAUGUGGAUGAUGAGAUUACAAGUAAAAAUACAGUUAUCCCUGUCUUACUUCUCGGGAAGGGUGCUGAAAAUACUUUCAGUCUGACAGGAUU
rnacentral:snoRNA from 1 species